AUGAACGCUGGCGGCGUGCCUAAUACAUGCAAGUCGAGCGAACAGACGAGGAGCUUGCUCCUCUGACGUUAGCGGCGGACGGGUGAGUAACACGUGGAUAACCUACCUAUAAGACUGGGAUAACUUCGGGAAACCGGAGCUAAUACCGGAUAAUAUAUUGAACCGCAUGGUUCCAUAGUGAAAGACGGUUUUGCUGUCACUUAUAGAUGGAUCCGCGCCGCAUUAGCUAGUUGGUAAGGUAACGGCUUACCAAGGCAACGAUGCGUAGCCGACCUGAGAGGGUGAUCGGCCACACUGGAACUGAGACACGGACCAGACUCCUACGGGAGGCAGCAGUAGGGAAUCUUCCGCAAUGGGCGAAAGCCUGACGGAGCAACGCCGCGUGAGUGAUGAAGGUCUUCGGAUCGUAAAACUCUGUUAUUAGGGAAGAACAAAUGUGUAAGUAACUAUGCACGUCUUGACGGUACCUAAUCAGAAAGCCACGGCUAACUACGUG
rnacentral:rRNA from 1 species